GUGAGGGAGUAAAGGAUUGUGUGUUUGGUUUUUUUAGAUGUUUACCUGCCAGAAAUAAAGAUUGGGGUCUCGUAGCUUCACAUCAGUUCCCAAGAUUAUUUUUUAAGCUCCCAGUUCAUAAUCCCCACAUCUGGGAGCCCCUGCUUUAGUCCAAACCCUGAUUUUUUCUUAACAAUUGAAUAAAAAAAAAAUGAGGCUCAGAAAGAGUGAUUUUCCCAGUGUUUAGGCACAAAGACUCAUUCUACUACUUCAGUACGACCCCGAUGUGGCAGGUGAUCCAGUUUUACAAGGACACUUUUCUACUGACCCCAUAAAUUCUCGGAUCUGCUCCAGAAUCAACAUUGCUCUUUGUUUAUUUAAAUCCUGGUACAAAAGCCCUUCUCUUCAGACCAUAAAGCUGCCUUACAUGCUUUCCAAAGCAUGUUCCUUCCCGUGGUCCUCAACAUACACCUGUGAGGGGGUGGGAGUGGCUCUUUGCCCCUAAGCAGUUAGGAACGUGUGUCUCACACACAUACACACAUGCACACAGCCCGCUGGCCUCUCCAGCUCCAAGGAGGGUCAGGCUGGGACGUGCAGGGAGCCCCCAGACCGCAGCCUCGGCCGGAGUGGCCUUUGUCUGCUUCCCGCCAGUUCCUUCCUAGGAGCAGCACACGCAUCCUAUUCUCCAGCUGCCUGCCAGAGCCGGCCCCAAAUGCGCAUCUUUACGAGGUCUCCUUCGGAAGAGAGGAUCCCAAGGACAUCCCCUCCCUCCACCCAGCAGCGAGGCCGAGCGGCGUGAUGGCCUGUGGAUAACCCACCCAGGAACCUGGCAAAGAGGAGGGCACUCGAGGAGCCAGUGUGAGACAGGGUGGGUGUGCGUGGGGCUGACUGAAGCCACCGGGAGCACAGGGUGUGUGGGACGGUGGUGGCUGUUGGGGCAGGAAGGAGAGCAUCGGGGGUGGAGGGGGAGCGGUCUCCACCUUCCGAGAGCGUGGCCCCCCAUCGACUCUAGGACAAGGAAGCCUGGGGUCAAGCUGGGGCUCCGGUUAAAUACAACCAGGGUGGCCACUCUGACGUCCCCUUCACUGGGGGGUCCCCGGGAGUCACACGGUACUGCUGCCUAUCAUGACAAGAACGAAGGCAUC
rnacentral:lncRNA from 12 species